rnacentral:tRNA from 1 species
AUUAAUUUAAUAUAUUAGUAUAUUUGACUUCCAAUCAAAAAGACCCUUAGGAAUUAAUA